CCACCCAAAAUAUCUUAUAUCUUUUUUCACCAUAUAAAAUUAGUUUGUGUAUAAGAAAACAAUAAACUAACCCUUCUUUUGUCACCUAUUAAGGAUAGGAUUUGGUUAGUUUUUAAUUGAAUUCAAAAUGGUUUGAAUUUCAACCUAAAACCCUAUCCCUAUCCUUCUACACGUUGGCUUCUUUUGAAGGCACCCAUUGUAUAGGAGAAAAGGAAGUGUUCUUGAUUGUUUUUGAUACCCAAAUUUCUUUGGUAAGUCUCUAUUUAAGUUAGAUAAGGG
rnacentral:lncRNA from 1 species